rnacentral:rRNA from 1 species
AGAGUUGGAUCCUGGCUCAGAUUGAACGCUGGCGGCAUGCUUUACACAUGCAAGUCGAACGGCAGCACGGGUGCUUGCACCUGGUGGCGAGUGGCGAACGGGUGAGUAAUGCACCGGAACGUACCCAGUAAUGGGGGAUAACACAUCGAAAGAUGUGCUAAUACCGCAUACGCCCUGAGGGGGAAAGCGGGGGAUCGUAAGACCUCGCGUUAUUGGAGCGGCCGAUGCCGGAUUAGCUAGUUGGUGAGGUAAGAGCUCACCAAGGCGACGAUCCGUAGCUGGUCUGAGAGGACGACCAGCCACACUGGGACUGAGACACGGCCCAGACUCCUACGGGAGGCAGCAGUGGGGAAUUUUGGACAAUGGGCGCAAGCCUGAUCUAGCCAUGCCGCGUGAGUGAAGAAGGCCUUCGGGUUGUAAAGCUCUUUCGCAAGGAAAGAAAACUUAUCU